AAGGUGAAGUGUACUCCUGGGGCAAAGGGGCCCGAGGUCGCCUGGGAAGGAGAGAUGAGGACGCCGCACUCCCUAGGCCAGUGCAGCUGGAUGAGACCCACCCCUACACGGUGACCUCCGUGUCCUGUUGCCAUGGCAACACUCUCCUGGCUAUCCGCCCGGUCACGGAUGAGCCAGUCCCCCCUUGACACACCUGGAUACACUGCCGGGCUACCCUGAUAUUGCUUCUCCUGUGAAUGUUCUUGAAAAGUGCAGGCGCCACACUGGAUUGUAUCAUCAAUGGGGUAUAAGGACCAGUAAAACCCCUGCUCUGCUUUCGGCUCUGGA